CUGAGUUAUCUUUUGUAUAAAAAUGAUUUAAAAACCUUCAAGCCAAGACUUCAAGACAUUCACAAUCUAUCCAUAUGUCCUGCAUAUCCUAAAGUAAGAAAAUCCUUGAUCCCUAGUAGUACCGCGCUUAACUUGUUUAUCCGCGCAAUAUUCUCCUAAAGUAACUGUUGGUUUAGAUAUUUAUAUGGUGAAGUUAUGGAGUGUCUUUUGUCUGCCCUUAGAAGAUUUUCAAAAGUAACUAAAGAGCAAACACCCAGUCAUAGAGCAGAUUCUAUUACUUUGGGUUUACUUCAUUAUGCACAAUAUUCAAUUAAUGCAAUAGGUAGAAGACUCUGUGCCAGACUAGACAAAGCUUUACAAAUUAAAGAUACAAUUGAUAUUGAACUUAAAAAAACACUGAAGUCUAUUAGUGAAAUGAUAUUGAAACUAUGAAUAACAAUCCAGAUAUAAAUAUAGAACUAGAACGGCUCGAAACAAAACUUAGUAUUGAAGAAAAGAAAUUAAAAAUAAAUACUCGGUGGGAUCCAACCACUGUUAUUUUUAAGGAGACCUUAGCAACAAAAGAAUAUUAUGCUAAAAAUCCAAUCCUUUGCAUUUCAUUAGUUAUUUCUCAGUAAUUUGAAAAAAAAAUAUGCAGAUGGACAAAAAAUUGCAAUUAAACUUACUAAGCAGUUAAACAAAAAUAAUAAGAAUUUGCAAGAUUUGAUCAAAGAGUAUAACUCUAUAGUUGUAUUCCAGCAAGUUUUUACAAAAUUUUAUUAUUUGGGAUGAGGUUAGUGAUUUGGAGAGUGUUUUUUUGAAAUAUUUUCGGACACAAAAAAGUUCUGAUUUUGCGAUUUCCAUAACAAUUAAACAAAAAUGUAUUGAGCUGUUUCAAUUGAAUUGUAGAUCUGUGGAAGAAAUCGAAAUGGUUAAAAGCGAAAUGAAAAAUGUAUUAAAUUUUUACCACACAAAAAUAAAUAAAUUCAAGGAA